CCAGACUCCUACGGGAGGCAGCAGUGGGGGAUAUUGCACAAUGGGGGGAACCCUGGUGCAGCGACGCCGCGUGGGUGAAGGAGCGUUUCGGCGCGUAAAGCCCUAUCGGCAGGGAAGAAGGAGGACGGGACCUGACUAAGAAGCCCCGGCUAACUACGUGCCAGCAGCCGCGGGAAUACGUAGGGGGCAAGCGUUAUCCGGAUUUACUGGGUGUAAAGGGGGCGCAGACGGCAGCGCAAGCCAGGAGUGAAAGCCCGGGGCCCACCCCCGGGACUGCUCUUGGAACUGCGCGGCUGGGGUGCAGGAGGGGCAGGCGGAAUUCCUGGUGUAGCGGUGAAAUGCGUAGAUAUACGGAGGAACACCAGUGGCGAAGGCGGAUUGCUGGACAGUAACUGACGCUGAGGCGCGAAAGCGUGGGUAGCAAACAGGAUUAGAUCCCCGAGUA
rnacentral:rRNA from 1 species